rnacentral:rRNA from 1 species
CAUGCAAGUCGACGGUAACGCGGACUUCGGUCUGGCGACGAGUGGCGAACGGGUGAGUAAUGCAUCGGAACGUAUCCAUUUAUGGGGGAUAGCCCGGCGGAAGCCGGAUUAAUACCGCAUAAUCUCCGAGGAGGAAAGUGGGGGACCUUCGGGCCUUACGCUGAUGGAGCGGCUGAUGUCGGAUUAGCUUGUUGGUAGGGUAAAGGCCUACCAAGGCGACGAUCCGUAGCUGGUCUGAGAGGACGACCAGCCACACUGGAACUGAGACACGGUCCAGACUCCUACGGGAGGCAGCAGUGGGGAAUUUUGGACAAUGGGGGCAACCCUGAUCCAGCCAUGCCGCGUGCGGGACGAAGGCCUUCGGGUUGUAAACCGCUUUCAGACGGAAAGAAACAGCACAAGCUAAUAACUUGUGCGAAUGACGGUACCGUCAGAAGAAGCACCGGCUAACUACGUGCCAGCAGCCGCGGUAAUACGUAGGGUGCGAGCGUUAAUCGGAAUUACUGGGCGUAAAGGGUGCGCAGGCGGCUCUCUAAGACAGGUGUGAAAUCCCCGGGCUUAACCUGGGAAUGGCGCUUGUGACUGGAGAGCUAGAGUGUGGCAGAGGGGAAUGGAAUUCCUGGUGUAGCAGUGAAAUGCGUAGAUAUCAGGAGGAACACCGAUGGCGAAGGCAGUUCCCCUGGGCCAACACUGACG